ensembl:lncRNA
AGACAUCUGAGCUUUCCUUUAAUUUAUAUAUAUAUAUAUAUAUAUAUAUAUAUAUAUAUAUAUAUAUAUAUAUAUAUAUAUAUAUAUAUAUAUAUAUAUAUAUACAUAUAUAUCAACCCAUUCUCACUCCAAAGGCGUCAAAAACCGAAGCAUGGUCAAGCGCCCCUAGCGUCACUUUUAUGACGCCAAAUGUGCCUCUCGGCGUCGACUAUCGAAGCACUACGACCUUCAUUGCUUUCAGUGGGAAACUUUUGGCGUCAGAAUUCGACACGAGGACAUGAGAUGUUUAUCGCUAUGAAAUCACGUUCAAGAAGUCUCAUUCAGCACACAUCGCGCGAUACUUGCUAUCAGUUCCACAGUUUGGGAUUGUUUGAGGAUAACACUGCAGUUCUCCAUCAUGCACAAGGACUCACCUCGUUAACUCUUUAUCCCCCACACACACAGAUAUGGUCCCUGGAUCAGUGAUUAGACUUUUCAGUGGUUUGAUUUUUGCAGAAGAUGUAACUUUGUUUUAUUUAUAAGCUCAUAAUGAAUACAUUACAGAACCAGUGAUGAAAACAAUAGUUAAAAAUAGUAUUUUUCGUAUUGAUAAAGCAUUUUGUUCUCUUUUUCAAGCUUCAUACAGUGAACUUUUUAGACUUUAAUUAAGAGUUUUAGUAAAGGAGAUAUUCAUACACAGUCAUCCCCUAGCUCCAGUCAUGAAGUGAAUUCAUGAUGUUAUGUCAAAGCUAGCAGGUGUUUGUUUUCCUGAACACUUUCUCUGUCUUCCAUUGUUCAGACAAUCAGUGUUUAUUUGAUGCUGUGCUGAUUGAGUUUUAUAGAUGAUAUUGCACACUUGACAUGCAUGUCUUCAUGGUGUUUUUUUGUGAGUUUGAAACAUUUACAUUGUGUUGUAUAACAUUUUGGUCAAUUUAAUUUUUUUAAUAAAAUUGAACUUUUUCCAGUGUUCUCUGAAAGACAUACUGUAUUUACUGUUUUGUUUUUUAAUAAAAGCAUUUUCAUUUGCAUACUGAAAAUAGUUAAUGUUUACAACAUAACUGCCUUUUUAUUCUUUAUGGUGGCAAAAACGAGCUUGGUGACAGAGGAUGCAGUGUAGUAAUUUGGGCAUGUUGUCUUUAAAUGAGUUUGACAUAUCAAUAAAUAAUGGAAGAUCCUUACAAAAAUAUGCAUGUUUAUUAUGCUUUAUGUAUUUAUUUGUUCAUUCAUUUAUAAUUUCUGUUUUUAUUCCUAGGGUUCAAAUGGUAGAGAAUGGUAAAUCACAGAAACACAAAUGUGAACAAUUUUAACUUUAAAACACAAUGUAAUAUACAAUGUAAAUUUUAGAAGCACGUCAUUUGAUUAGUAAAUAUAUUUGUCUUUGGUCAAAAAAAAAAUAUACAAAUCUUAAAAAUGUGUCUUAUAUUUAAUGAGAGGAAUCUAUCUGUUGGAUACAACUGCGACUGCUGGGCAUGUGCACAUCAAUAUUGCCCAAUUUUUGUCAAGCUGAACAACGGAGGAAGGUGAAGACAUUAAUAAAACAGUAUCUUAUAAGUAGCAAGCUUAAUCUAUUGUUAACCGAAUCUAUCCCUUCAGCCGAAAAACGAAAGACAUCUGUCAUACAUGGAUAAGGAAAUGUGACGCUGCUGCUCAGCUUAGAUGUCAUUGGCUAUGACUUUUCAGGACAGUCUGUGGUUGGACUAUCUUUUAACCCAUAUUAAACAGCGCAUCAUGUUAAAAAGUAUGUUUUGCUCCUAUCAUCACAUUAGUAAUAUAUUAAGUCAACAAUGAAGUGUUGCUAUCUUGAGAAAAAUGACAUCUUUAGCGAGAUCCUAAUCCUAACCCUAAGCAUAACUUCAAUGAACUACAAAAAAAAGCCCCCCAGUGUUGCCUUUCUAUAGAUAGAACGACGGAGGCUUGUGGGUAAUGUAGUUUAAAACUUUUUAUUAACGAAACUAAAUAAAUUAUUUAUUUUAAGGUAAACUGGAUAUCUAAAUAUGUUUAUUGUGCAAACCUCUAUGAUAUAUUUGAGAGGCAGGCUGAAAUGUGGUAUUUCACAGUGAGCAAUAUUUAAAAUGCUUUUAUGCCAGCUUUCCACUUAUUUCUGAAAACUGAGCUCAACAUUAUUUUAUCAGCAUAGCAUAAGUAAUAAUCCUGCCCAUUUUCUCUUUGAUAUGUUAAUUGGACUCUGAUUUACAGCCAUUUGAAAUGUACAGUUUUGGGCUCUUCCGGGGGGUGCUACUGGGCCCCUGGGGGUAGCAGGGCAGUAAAACCUACAUAUAUGUAUUCUCCUCAUCAUGAACAACAAACUGAGCUGAGUCACAUUUAUAUCUGACAGUUUUCACAGUCCUCUGUUUUCUAUUCUAUUCAUCAUGGCUAUUAUACCUUUAGACAGGACAUUGUGAAGCCAUCUGAUGAAACAUGGAAAAAUUAUAAAGAAAUGAUUUAAUAAUGAAAAUAAUAGAUUAUUUCUUAGAUUUUUGAAGUAAAUGGCAAGAAAUAUAAUGGAUGAACCUGCAACAACUUGCCAUUGUCUAUUCCCCACUGUAAAGCAGUAAUCAAGGACAAUGUAUACACAUUGUGAUACUUCACUAUUACACAAGGACAAAUUCA